GACACGAGUUCCAUUGGUUUUCCAGGGGUAAGCCUUUUACUCGUAUUUACACUUACACUGGUCAUGUUCAACAUUGAUCAACUAGAAUUUCAACAUUGAUCAACUAAAAUUUCAACAUUGAUGCUUGUGUUGGUGUAGGUUGCUAAGUGUAUAGAGAUUGGUCUGCUGGAGCUUAUUUUCUAGUAUUUGUGUCCCAGGCAGAGUUCCUUCAAGUUGCAUCCACCUAGUGUCUUUAUACUUUAGCGAAUGAGAUUGAAUUAUAUCCAUUCAUUGAUUUUCUCUUUUUAAAAUUGGAAUAGGAUUUGGUUUCUGAUUAGUUGUUAUUCUUUCUUGUGAAAAUGAUUUUCUUAAAUUGUAA
rnacentral:lncRNA from 1 species